GUUUUCGUGGCCUAGUGGUUAGGGCGUCUGUCUUACAUGGAAGUUAAUAGCUUCAUAUAUGUUCACAGAAGAUCGCCGGUUCAAUCCCGGCCGGAAACA